AUUGAACGCUGGCUGCAGGCCUAACACAUGCAAGUCGAACGAGUGGCGGACGGGUGAGUAAUGUCUGGGAAACUGCCUGAUGGAGGGGGAUAACUACUGGAAACGGUAGCUAAUACCGCAUACCAUCGGAUGUGCCCAGAUGGGAUUAGCUAGUAGUUGGGGUAAAGGCUCACCUAGGCGACGAUCCCUAGCUGGUCUGAGAGGAUGACCAACCGCACUGGAACUGGGCCACGGUCAAGACUCCUACGGGAGGCAGCAUCGUGGAAUGUUGCAAAAAGGGCGAAAGCCGGAUGCAGCUAGGCAGCGUGGAUGAAGAAGGCCUUCGGGUGGGAUAGUACUUGCAGCGGGGAGAUGUUACACGCAGAAGAAGUACCGGCUAACUACGUGCCAGCAGCCGCGGUAAUUC
rnacentral:rRNA from 1 species